AUGCAAGUCGAGCGGGGGAAGGUAGCUUGCUACCGGACCUAGCGGCGGACGGGUGAGUAAUGCUUAGGAAUCUGCCUAUUAGUGGGGGACAACAUCUCGAAAGGGAUGCUAAUACCGCAUACGUCCUACGGGAGAAAGCAGGGGAUCUUCGGACCUUGCGCUAAUAGAUGAGCCUAAGUCGGAUUAGCUAGUUGGUGGGGUAAAGGCCUACCAAGGCGACGAUCUGUAGCGGGUCUGAGAGGAUGAUCCGCCACACUGGGACUGAGACACGGCCCAGACUCCUACGGGAGGCAGCAGAGGGGAAUAUUGGACAAUGGGGGGAACCCUGAUCCAGCCAUGCCGCGUGUGUGAAGAAGGCCUUAUGGUUGUAAAGCACUUUAAGCGAGGAGGAGGCUACUUUAGUUAAUACCUAGAGAUAGUGGACGUUACUCGCAGAAUAAGCACCGGCUAACUCUGUGCCAGCAGCCGCGGUAAUACAGAGGGUGCGAGCGUUAAUCGGAUUUACUGGGCGUAAAGCGUGCGUAGGCGGCUUAUUAAGUCGGAUGUGAAAUCCCCGAGCUUAACUUGGGAAUUGCAUUCGAUACUGGUGAGCUAGAGUAUGGGAGAGGAUGGUAGAAUUCCAGGUGUAGCGGUGAAAUGCGUAGAGAUCUG
rnacentral:rRNA from 1 species